rnacentral:lncRNA from 1 species
CUCUCUUCAGAACUAGACAAAUCCUAAACAAAUCCGCCGAGGCUGUCCUCUAAGGCUUUCGUCUCUCUCGUCUUCAAACUAUCCGGCAUCGACGAACUGUUUUGCUUACUCCGACGAAGGAAUUCUGACGAAGGACAACCAUUUCGGCUAAUAUAAGGGAAUCUCAGAUGUAGAUUAUCAGUAUUUUUCCAUGUUCAUGGUUGUUCGCUUUCGUUAUUGUUUCACCGGAAAAUUGUUCGCCGCUUCUUCUGCUUUCUUUCUCUAGUAAGAUUUCAUCUAAACCCAUUAAUUUACUCUGUCCUUUGUUUGUAUUAUAUGAUUUCUAGUUUUUGAUUUCAUCUAAACCCAAUUUUUUUUGAUUUCUAGUUUGUAAAACUGUAAUUAUCUAGUUAGUUGGAAAAAUAAGUUAAACUUUAUUUAGGGUUUUUGAGGUAUUUUCAGUUGAUCUGACUAACGGGAAGGAUUUGAGCACCAAAAUACAUGAUCUGUCAUUUUAUACUAUCGACAGACUAUACAAGCAUAGUGUUACAUUAAGGGCUUUCUUAUUAUUUGUUGCUACUUGACUCUUCGUGUUAUCGAUCACAUUUUAUCUAUUAGUUUUAUGUGUUGUUACUGUCUGUCCUUUUGCAUUUGCCUAAUUUCCAUGAACUUCCACUCUACAAACCUAUUCAUCAGUGUGAAGACACUCUUAGUGCACUCAAAUCCCAAUGCUGCAACUAGUUGUCUCUGUAUGUAAUUAGCCACCUCAUAGCUAGAAUUUCCACCAGCACAAGUCAAAUCUUUGGGAAUUUUUCCAAUGAUCUCAAUAGUGUAAGAAGGUCUUGGAUUCAUCAAGAAGAAAAUAGGGUCCAAACACUUGAGACCACUAGCAGCAGUCCCAUAAAACAUGGUCACAUUUGUGUUCAUAGCCACAAAUGUACAAUCUCAUCAGCUAAUUCUGCAAACAAGGAGCUGAACCUUAAAAGAUAUGGCUUCCUGCAUGUGGUUCCUUUUAGACAAACAACUAAGUCACCUGUAAGAUAAUACAAAUAACAGACAGUAAAAAAAAUUACUUUUAAGACGUGAUUAAAUAGCUAAUUGUCCAUGUACAAAAAUAUACAUACAAGUCCAUAUAUUAAAUUUUUCGAACAUUACCUUCGCUAAAUAUUGCUAAUAGUAUUCCAAUUGGAAGCCAAAUGAACAUGGCUAAUGUUGCAAGAGGUGUAGGUAGAAAAGCUAGCCUUCCAUCAUGAAAUACUAGUGGCUUUGGAUAUUUCUCCCUUGCCAAUACUGAACUACUACUUUUUUUGUCCUCCUUGUUUACCACGUAAGCUUCCUGUUCAAUAGAAAGAUGUAUUUAGACACACUAAAAAAGAAAAAAAAUAUUGAUAUAAAGUAGAUUACAAUGAGUAAUAAAAUGUUGUUGACUUAAAUCACCAUUUUUCGCUUAAUGAGUUAACUAAAAGUGCACAGUCCUCGGCCUUGAAAUCGUAAAUUAUUACACAAUCAAACAUCUUGUUGUGAUAUCCCUGAACUAGAUACUAAUCCAGUAAAAUAACUCCUAACAGUAUGCAACUCAGUUCCUUUAACACAAUCAACACUCAAAUACUCUUUAAGAAAAUCUUCCACCAUAACUCUAGGCACACUAGUGAAAACCACCCUACACCCUGCUGAUUUUAAAACCUCAUAAACAUGAACAUUUAAAUUUUCAAGAUAAAACUUAGGCAAAACAGCUCUUCCAACACUGUCCAUGUCCUUUAAUCUUAACUCACAAAAUGUAAUAAAGAUCAUAACUCUUAGUUUAAGUUCAUAAUCAAGAACCAAUAAAAGGGGACUUGACAAAAGUAAGAACAAGGCUCUAAAAAUGCUACCACCUUCAAAAGCAACUAACAUGAAAUAUGGAAAAAAAGAUUCAGAUCUAAGAAGUGUGCCUUGAAUGUCACAUGCAACUGUUUUUAAUUUUCUCCCAUAUAAAGUACACUUGCUUAUACUAGGGUACAAAGGAAUUUGAUGAGAUGAUCUAAAUGAUGAGUUUCUGGAAAAGAAACCAGAGUCUUUAACUUUUACUACAACUUUGUAACAUGAUUUUUUUAUUAAGAGUAUGUAAAUCAAUUUUAUAAUAUUUAUUUUGGUGUCAUAUAGGAUAAAAGUAAUUUAAUGGAUAACGGAGAUAAAAGGUGAAUGGGCCUUUGAAGGCCAACUGAUGAGUACAUACAAUGAGUGAAUAAAUUUCUUAAUAAAGCAUUUGAAUGAGCUUCCCAAGGAAAUCAAAUAUUAUGCCCUUGUAAAGAGUGCGCUAAUUGUUUUUGGCAUCAUAGGAAUGUGGUGGAAGACCACUUGAUUGUUAAUAGUUUUGUUCAUGGAUACAACAAAUGGGUUUUUCAUGGGAAAGAAUUUUCCUCGAGAAAGACUCCAUGCCCAAGCAGUAAUGAUAAUGGUUCUGACAUGUAUGACGAUAUUGAUGGAUUACUUCAUGAUACAUUUUGAAGUGUCAAGGCUGAUUCGGGACAUACAGUGUAACGACCCAGCCAGUCGUUUCAUGAUUUACCACUCUAUUUCCCCCAUUUUUGCUUCUUUAUGUCUUGUUUAGCUGUAUUAUAUGGUAUCAGGUUAGUUGAUUCGGGUUCAAAAUGGUUUUGGAGAGGUUUGAGACACUUAGUUUUUUUGAGUAAGCUUAAAUUAAAAAAGUCAACAAGACGUUAACUUAUGUGAAAAAGAGCUCGGAUGUGAAUUCUGAUGAUUUAGAUAGUUUUGUUAGGUGAUUUGGGACUUAGGAGCAUGAUCAGAAUUUAAUUUGGAAGUUCGUGGUAGAUUUAGGCAUGAAUUAGCGAAAUUGAAAUUUUGGUGUUUUCUGGUCGAUAGUGAAAUUUUUUAUAUCGGGGUCGGAAUAGAAUUUCAAGAGUUACAGUAGGUCCGUUGUGUCAUAUGAGAUGUGUGUGCAAAAUUGCAAGUCAUUCGGGCGUGGUUUAAUAGACUUUUUGAUUGUUUGCGGAAUUUGGAAGUUUUGGAAAUCUUAGGCUUGAAUCCGAGGGUGUUUUGAUAAUUCGAUGUUGUUUGGAGUGUUCUGGAGGUUGGUAUAAGUUUAAAUAGUGUAAUAUGACUUGUUUGUAUUUUUGGUUGAGGUCUCGGGGGCCUCGGGGUAAUUUCGGGUGGUUGACGAGAGGUUUGAAGUUGGAAUUAGCUGCUGAAGUGCUGAAGCUCUUGUCAUAACCAUACAUGCACCUUGGAGACCGUAGGUGCGGGCCCGCAGAAGCAAAAAAGGGAAUGCAGAUGCAGACAAAGGAAUGGAUGACUAUAGACGCAGAUGGGGGGUUUUAAUCACAGGUGCGAUCCUUGGGAGGAUAAGUGGAAUCCGCACAUGUGCACCUGGGACCGCAGAUGCGAGAUUUCGACCGCAAAAGUUGUUUAGCUAGGGCAAAACAUAUAAAUUUAGCCCUUCGCGAUUUUUGAGUGGGUUUUCACCAUUUUCAUGCGGGUUUGAGCUUGGGAGAGAAAUUUGAAGAGAGAAUUCAAGAAGGUUUCGUGGAGGUAAGAUUUUUGGACCCUAAACUUAUUUCUAUGAUGGUUUUUGACUAAUUAAGUUUGAAAUCUAUGGAAAUUAGUAGCAGAAAUUGGGGGUUUAGGGCUUGGAAAUUGGAGACCCUAAUCUAGGGAUUUGAGGGGUCAUUUGUGGUGGGAUUUUGGUAUUCUUAGUAUGUAUGAACUCGUGAGAGUGUAAGGAUUGUAGUUUUAUGAAUUUUAUCAGAAUCCGAGAUGUGGGUUAGGGGUCGGGUUUGACCUAUUUCAGGAUUUGUGAUGUAAUUUGAUUAUUUUCGCAUGGGUUUUGUCCCCUGAGUAUAUAUUGAUGUUAUGGUUCUGAUUUUGGUUAGAUUCGGGGCAUUUGGAGGCCGAAUCAAGAGGAAAGGGCGUUGCGGGCUAGAAUUUGGCUUGGCUUGAGGUAAGUAACGCUUCCAAACUUGGUUCUGAGGGCUCGAAACCCCAAACUAUGUGUUCUAUGAUUACUAUUUAGGUAACACAAUUCCAUGUAACGGGUGUGUGGGCGUGCACCGUGAGAAAUGUGGCCUGGAUCAUUCCAUGGCACCGCUUAGUGAAUCUUUUAUACUGAUAUCUGUGUCGUAAUUAUGUAAUUAAGUUAAUAAGCUACAAAUCUUGCUAAUUAUCAUGUUAAGGCUUCAUGCCAACCUUGUUGAGACCCGAGAGAUCGUUUCUUGUUGUCAUGUAAUUAGCUUCAUUUAUAUCCUAUAAUCAAUCCUGUUCAUGCAUAUUAUAUCAUGCCUCAGUCUCGAUUACUGCGUCUAUAGACAUAUCAUAUCAUUUUUCGGGCUUGUAUCAUGAUUUUGUUAGCCCGUGUGUGCGAUGCUAGAGAGUAUUCACUAAGUGAGGCCGAGAGCCUGAUAUUGAUUGACGAUAUGGGAUCGGGCUGCACGUGCAGCGAGAUAUUGAUCAUUCCUUCGUUGACAUUGAUAUAGUGCUUGGGCUCAGAGAAGCGCAAUUGAUGAUAUUGAGGGAUGGAUCUUCCAUGGACAUGGAUCUUGUCCGAAGUAUUGGUAUGGAGAUGGAUCUUCUCCGUGAGGCUGGAUUGGUCUGUUUCCUCGGUACUGGGUGCCUUAUAGUCAGUGAUGUAUAUAUUCUGGGAUGAAUCUUCCCUGGGCCAUAUACAGUACCAAGUGGUUGAGCAUUGUGCGUGGAAGUAUUAUACGCAACAAUGAUCAUGCUAUCUUUGCAUUGGUACUUAGGGGUACUUGAGCUUUAUACUCUGCAUUGUUCAUACUAUGUUGGACUUGGGUCGUCACUAUCGUCAAUCCAUAGUUUGGACUUGUUACUUACUGAGUUGGUGUACUCACGUUACCCCCUGCAACCCUGUGUGCAGAUCCAGGUAUCUCGGGGCACGGUAGUAGUUGUUGAUCACACCAGUUGGAGACAUUCUGUAGAGAUUGCGAGGUAGCUGCUUGGCGACCGCAGUUCUGCCUUCUCCUUUCCUUAUCUUCCUUUAGUAUAUUUAUUUGGAUAUUCUCAGACCGUGUUGGUCAUGCUAUUUUGGACAGAUGUAGUAGUUUUAGCUCAUGACUUAGUGACACCCGAGGUUAGGAUUGUGUUUUUUUCCACUGGAUUUUGAUUUCUACUUUUAUCUUAUUUAAUUUCUAUUAAAAUUAUGAUUUUCCUUAAAGUUUUCAUUUGAAAAAAAUGGAGUAUUUGGAAAUAAGUGGCUGGCCUAGUAUCACGAUAGGUGCCAUCAUGACAUGACUUGAUUUAGGGUCGUGACAUAUUGGUAUCAGAGCCUAGGUCACAUAGGUCUCACGAGUCAUGAGCAGGUUUAGUAGAAUCUCGCGGAUCGGUACGGAGACGUCUAUAUUUAUCCUCGGGAGGCUACAUAAACUUUAGGAAAACUUCAUAUUCUUGAAUUCUUGUCAUUAAAAUAUGUUGAACCUAGUACUGAACUUCUAUUAUUCUAUUCUCUCACAGAUGUUGAGGAUAUGUGCUACCGGUCAGGAUGGAUGACCACCAGUACCACUAGUUGGGGCCGCUAGAGGCAGAGGACACGGUCCAGGCCGUGGUAGGGGUAGGGGUGUGGCCCGCACAGAAGCUAGGGCAACACUUGCAGAUCUACCUACUGCCCCAGUUCAUGAUCAGGCUCCAGCAAGGAUGCUCUAGCAGCACCAGCUCAAGCAACGACUAUGCCUAUUGUUAUUUCGGGUCUCUAGGAGACUUUGGCUUAGAUUCUGACUGUGUGCACCAAUAUUGCUCAAGUAGUCGCAGUGUCUACUAUAGAAACGACUUCUCAAGACGGGGGAGGCACUCAAACUCCCACCACCCGUACACCCGAGCAGGUUGUUCAGGGACUUUAGACACCGGAGGUACCACCAGCUCAGCCGGUUGCAUCUGCUCAGGAUUUUGUGGUUCGAGUUAUGCCUGAUGACAAUCAACGUCGAUUGGAGAGGUUUGGUAGACUUCAGCCUCCGACUUUCAGUGGCUCAGAGGGUGAGGAUGCCUAGGGUUUCUUGGAUAAGUGUUAGAGGAUGCUGAGUACAACGGGUAUUCUGGAGACUAGUGAAGUCUCAUUUACUACUUUUCAGUUUUCUGGAGCUGCCUUCACUUGGUGGGAGGCUUAUGAGAAGCGUAGGCCUAUUGGUGCACCGCCCCUUACCUGGCAUCAGUUCUCUAUUCUCUUCCUAGAGAAGUUUGUACCGCAUUCCCGCAAAGAGGAGCUGUGCAGGCAGUUCGAGUAGUUACGUUAAGGGGAUAUGACUGUAUUGCAGUAUGAGAUGAGGUUCUCCUAGUUGGCUCGUCAUGCUAUCUGGCUAGUUCCCAUAGAUUGGGAGAGGAUCAAGAGGUUUGUUGAUGGUCUCAACUAUCAGUUACGGAUUUUUCUGACCAAAGUGAGAGUAUCUGGCGCUCCUUUUGAAGAGGUGGUUGACAUUUCUUAAAAUAUAGAGUCAGCUUGCCGCCAGGAGCGGGAUGAGAGGGAGGCCAAGAGGUUUUGGGGAUCUGGUAGCUUUAGUGGUGUUCCUUCGAGAGGUUAGUCUCAGCAUGGCAGAUGUCGUUCAUUCAGAUAUGCUCAGCCAGCUCGUUCAGGUCAUCGUGGUGGGUUAUCUGGCCAUGGUUCUCAUAGUUCACAUCAGGUUCACUCAUCUCUCAGUGCCCUUCCAGCUUAGAGUUUGAAUCAGGCACCAUCAGUUCAAGGCUCAUCUAUGCUUGGUUCUUCUAGUGGCCAUCCUGGUGCGCAAGGCUCCCUUCAGUCCCCACUGCCAUUUGCCGGGAGAGAUUGCUUCGAGUAUAGAGAUGUGGGUCAUAUCAAGAGGUUCUGUCCCCGCCUUACGUGAGGUUCAUCCCACUAGAGAGGUCAGCUUUCGGCUUUAGCACCAGUUACUUCUCCACCCGCUCAGUCAGCUUGGGGUGGAGGUCAGUUAGCUAGGGGUUGCCGUAGAGGGGGAGGUCGAUCAAGUGGUGGUCAUGCCCGUUUCUAUGCCCUCCCAUCCAGACCAGAUGCUAUUGUUUCAGAUGUUGUGAUUACAGGUAUUAUCUAAGUCUGCCAUAGAGAUGCCUCUAUAUUAUUUGAUCCUGGUUCCACCUUUUCUUAUGUGUCAUCAUAUUUUGCCCAUUAUUUAGAUAUGCCCUACGAGCCUCUUGUUUCAUCUGUUCAUGUAUCUACUCUAAUGGGCAAUACUAUUGUUGUGGACCAUGUAUAUCAGUUGUGUGUAGUGACUAUUGGGGGUUUGGAUACCCGAGUGGAUCUCUUGUUGCUUAGUACGGUUGAUUUUGAUAUGAUAUUGGGCAUGGAUUGGUUACCUCCGUGUCGUGCUAUUUUGGACUAUCAUGCUAAGACAGUAACGUUGGCUAUGUGGGGGUUGCCAUGGAUUGAGUGGCGAGGUUCGAUUGAUUAUGUUCCCAGCAGGGUAGUUUCGUUUCUGAAGGCCUAGCGGAUGGUUGGGAAGGGUUGUCUUUCAUACUUAGCCUUUGUGAGGGAUGUCAGUGCAGAGAAUCCUAGUAUUGAUUCUGUUCCUGUAGUGAGGGAUUUUUUUAUGUGUUUCCUACAGACCUACUGGGCAUGCCCCUGGACAGGGAUAUGACUUUGGUAUUGAUUUGGUGAGCCCAUUUCUAUUCCACCGUAUCGUAUGGCACCGGCGAAGUGAAAGGAGCAGCUUCAGGAACUCCUUGAUAAUGGGUUUAUUCGACCUAGUGUGUUGCCGUAGGGUGCACCUGUUCUAUUUGUGAAGAAAACAGAUGGCACUAUAAGGAUGUGCAUUGAUUAUAGGCAGUUGAAGAAGGUUACAAUUAAGAAUAAGUAUCCUUUGCCUUGCAUUAAUGAUUUAUUCGACCAGCUUUAGGGAGCGAGAAUGUGCUCCAAGAUUGAUCUUCGUUCAGGGUAUCGCCAGUUGAAGAUCAAGGACUCAUAUUCUUACGACAGGUUUCAGGACCCGUUAUGGUCAUUAUGAGUUCCUUGUGAUGUUUUUUUCGCUGACCAAUGCCCCAGCAGUGUUCAUGGAUCUGAUUAACAGCGUGUUCUGGCCUUAUCUUGACUCGUUCGUGAUUGUUUUCAUUGAUGAUAUUCUGGUAUAUUCGCAUAGUCAAGAGGAGCAUGUGGAGCAUUUAAGAGUUGUGUUGCAUAGAUUGAGGGAGGAGAAGGUUUAUGAAAAGUUCUUCAAAUGUGAGUUUUGGCUCAGGUCAGUGGCUUUCUUGGGGCACGUAGUGUCCAGUGAGGGUAUUCAGGUUGAUCCGAAGAAGAUAGAGGCGGUUCAGAGUUGGCCCAAACCGUCCUCAGCCAUAGGGAUUCACAGCUUUCUUGGUUAGGUGGGUUAUUACCGCCAGUUCAUUCAGGGAUUUUCAUCUAUAGCAUCACCCUUGACCAAGUUGACUCAAAAUGGUGCUCCAUUCAUGUGGUCGGACGAUUGUGAGACGAGCUUUCAGAAGCUCAAGACUGCCUUGACCACAACUCCAGUGUUAGUUUUUCCAUCAGCUUCAGGUUCCUACACAUUGUAUUGUGAUGCUUCGAGAGUUGUUAUUGGGUGUGUUUUGAUGCAGGAGGGUAGAGUGAUUGCGUAUGCUUUUCGUCAGUUCAAGCCCUAUGAGAAGAACUACCCUGUUCAUGAUUUGGAGUUGGCUGCCAUUAUUCACGCAUUGAAGAUUUGGAGGCAUUAUUUUUAUGGUGUGUCAUGUGAGGUCUUUACUGAUCAUCGUAGCCUCCAGAACUUGUUCAAGCAGAAGGAUAUCAAUAUGAGGUAGCGGAGAUGGUUGGAACUGCUAAAAGAUUAUGAUAUCAUUAUAUUGUACCAUCCGGGAAAGGCCAAUGUGGUGGCCGAUGCCUUGAGUAGGAAGGUGGUGAGUAUGGGGAGUUCGGCAUAUAUUCCUAUUGAGAAGAGACCUCUUGCAGUUGAUGUUCAGACCUUGGCCAAUCGGUUUGUGAGGUUGGAUAUUUUGGAGCCUAGUCGGGUAUUGGCUUGUGUGAUUUCUCGGUCUUCCUUAUUUGAUCGCAUCAGAGAGCAUUAGUAUGAUGAUCCUCAUUUGCUUUUCCUUAAGGACAGAGUUCAGCACGACGAUGCUAGAUAUGUGACUAUUGGUGAUAAUGGGGUAUUGAGGAUGCGGGGCUGGAUAUGUGUGUCCAAUGUUGAUGGGCUUCGGGAGUUGAUUCUGGAGGAGGCCUAUAGCUCGUGGUAUUCCAUCCAUCCGGGUGCCGCGAAGAUGUAUCAAGAUUUGAGACAACAUUACUAGUGGAGAAGAAUGAAGAAGGAUAUUAUGGAAUUUGUAGCUCGGUGUCUCUAUUGUCAGCAGGUGAAAUAUAAGCAUCAGNNNNNNNNNNNNNNNNNNNNNNNNNNNNNNNNNNNNNNNNNNNNNNNNNNNGAUUAUGGAUCGGCUGACCAAGUCCACACACUUCAUUCCUGUGUGUACUACCUAUUAUUCAAAGCGGUUGGCAGAGAUCUAUAUCCGAGAGAUUGUUCGCUUGCAUGGUGUCCCAGUUUCCAUCAUUUCAGAUAGAGGUACCCAGUUUACUUUGCAGUUUUGGAGAGCCGUGCAGAGAGAGUUGGGUACUCAGGUUGAGUUGAGCACAUCUUUUCACCCUCAGACGAACGGGCAGUCCGUGUGCGCUAUUCAGAUGUUGGAGGACAUGUUGCGCGCUUAAGUCAUUGAUUUUGGAGGGUCAUGGGAUCAGUUUCUACUGCUCACAGAGUUUGCUUACAACAAUAGUUACCAGUCGAGUAUUCAGAUGGCUCCAUAUGAGGCUUUGUAUGGGAGAUGGUGUAGAUCUCCACUUGGUUGGUUUGAGCCGGGUGAGGCUAGUCUUUUGGGUAUAGACUUAGUGUAGGAUGCUUUGGACAAUGUGAAGGUGAUUCGGGAGUGGCUUCGCACAGUCGAGACAGAAGAGUUAUGCUGACAGGAAGGUCCGUGAUAUGUCUUACAUGGUUGGGGAGAAGGUUCUGUUGAAGGUUUCACCCAUGAAGGAUGUUAUGAGAUUUGGAAAGAAGGGUAAAUUGAGUCAUUGAGUCAUUGGGCCUUUUGAGGUGCUUCAUAGGAUUGGGAGGUAGCUUAUGAGCUUACUUUGCCACCCAGCUUAUCGAGUGUGCAUCCGGUAUUUCAUGUUUCUGUGCUCCAGAUGUAUAUUGGCAAUUCGUCUCAUAUUUUGGAUUUCAGCACGGUUCGGUUGGAUGGUGAUUUGACUUAUGAUGUGAAGCCGGUGGCUAUAUUGGAGCGUCAUAUUCGAAAGUUGAGGUUAAAGGAUAUAACUUCAAUAAAAGUGCAGUGGAGAGGUCGGCCCGUGGAGGAGGCUACCUGGGAGACCGAGCGGGAGAUGUGGAGCAGAUAUCCUCACCUAUUUGAGGCUUCAGGUAUGUUUCUUGACUCGUUCGAGGAUGAACGUUUGUUUAAGAGGGGGAGGAUGUAAUGAUCCGGUCAGCCGUUUCAUGAGUUAGCGCUCCGUUUCCUCCAUUUCUGCUUCUUUAUGUCUUGUUCAGAUGUAUUAUGUGGUAUCAGGUUAGUUGAUUCGGGUUCAGAAUGGUUUUGGAGAGGUUCGAGACACUUAGUCUCUUUUGAGUAAGCUUAAGUUGGAAAAGUCAACCGGACAUUGACUUAUAUGAAAAGGGGCUCAGAUGUGAAUUCUGAUAGUUUGGAUAGCUUCGUUAGGUGAUUUGGGACUUCGGAGCGUGAUCAGAAUGUAAUUUGGACGUCUGUGGCAGAUUUAGGCUUGAAUUGGCGAAAUUGGAAUUUUGGCAUUUUCCGGUUGAUAGUGGAAAGUUUUAUAUCAGGGUCGGAAUGGAAUUCCGGAAGUUGUAGUAGGUCCGUUGUGUCAUAUGGAAUAUGUGUGCAAAAUUUUAGGUCAUUCGGACAUGGUUUGAUAGACAUUUUGAUCGUUUGUGGAAUUCAGAAGUUUUGGGAUUCUUAGGCUUGAAUCCGAGGGUGUUUUGAUGAUUCGAGGUUGUUUGGAAUGUUCUGGAGGUUGGUAUAAGUUCGAAUAGUGCAAUGUGACUUGUUCAUACUUUUGGUUGAGGUCCCGGGGGCCUCACGAUGAUUUCGGGUAGUUGACGGGAGGUUUGGAGUUGGCAUUAGCAGCUGAAGUGCUGAAGCUCCUGUCAUAACCACACCUACGGCUUGGGGACCGCAUGUGCGGGUCCGCAGAAGCGAAAAAGGGAAUGCAGAUGCGGCCAAAGGAAUGAAUUAUUGGAGCCACAGAUGUGGGGUUUUGAUCGCAGGUGCGAUCCUUGGGCAGAUAAGUGGAAUCCGCAGAUGCGCACCUGGGACCGCAUGUGCGGGUUCGCAGGUGCGAUAUUUCGACUGCAGAAGCGGUUAAGGUAGGGCGAAACAUAUAAAUUUAGCCCUUCACGAUUUUUGAGUGGCGUUUCACCAUUUUCAUGUGGGUUUGAGCUUGGGAGAGCAAUUUGAAGAGAGAAUUCAAGAGGGUUUCGUGGAGGUAAGAUUUUUGGAGUCUAAACUUGUUUCUAUGAUUGUUUUUGACUGAUUAAGCUUGAAAUCUAUAGAAAUUAGUAGCAAAAAUAGGGGGUUUAGGGCUUGGGAAUUGGAGACCCUAAUCUAGGGAUUUGAUGGGUCAUUUGUGAUCGGAUUUUUGUAUUCUUGGUAUGUAUGAACUCGUGAGAGUGUAACGAUUCUAGUUUUGUGAAUUUUAUCGGAAUUCGAGAUGUGGCCCGAGGGUCGGGUUUGACCAAUAUCGGGAUUUGUGAUGUAAUUUGAUUAUUUUCUCAUGGGCUUUGUCCCCUGAGUAUAUAUUGAUGUUAUGGUUCUAAUUUUUGUUAGAUUUGGGGCAUUUGGAGGUCGAAUCGAGAGGAAAGGGCAUCACGGGCUAGAGUUUGGCUUGGCUUGAGGUAAGUAACGCUUCCUAGCUUGGUUCUGAGGGUUCGAAACCCUGAACUGUGUGUUCUAUGAUUACUAUUGAGGUGACGCAAUGCCAAGUGAUGGGCGUGUGGGCGUGCACCAUGAGAAAUGUGUCCUGGAUCAUUCCAUGGCACCGCUUAGUAACUCUUUUAUACCGAUAUUUGUGUUGUAAUAAUGUGAUUAAGUUAAUAAGCUGCAAAUCAUGCUAAUUAUCAUGUUAAGGCUUCACGCCAACCCUGUUGAGACCCGAGAGAUUAUUUCUUGCUGUCAUGUCAUUAGCUUCAUUUAUAUCCUAUACUCAGUCCUGUUCAUGUAUAUUAUAUCAUGCCUCAGUCUCGAUUAUUGCUAUUUGACAUAUCAUAUCAUUUUUUGGGCUUGUAUCAUGACCUUUUUAGCCUGUGUGUGCGAGACUGGAGAGUAUUGACUGAGUGAGGCCGAGAGCCUGAUAUUGAUUGACAGUAUGGGAUCGGGCUGCAUGCCACAGCGAGAUAUUGAUCAUGCCUUCGUUGGCAUUGAUAUAGCGCUUGGGCUCAGCGAAGCCCCUCCGGAGUCUUUACACCCCAAGUGAGCGCAGUUGAUGAUAUUGAGGGAUGGAUCUUCCCUAGACAUGGAUCUUGUCUGAAGUAUUGGUAUGGAGAUCGAUCUUCUCUAUGAGGCUGGAUUGGCCUAUUUUUUCGGUACUGGGUGACUUAUAGUUAGUGAUAUAUAUAUUCUGGGAUAGAUCUUCCUUGGUCCAAAUGGGCCAUAUACAGUACCGAGUGGUUGAGCGCUGUUAGUGGAAGUAUUAUACGCAAUAAUGAUCAUGCUAUUUGUGCAUUGAUACUUAGGGGUUCCUAAGCUUUAUACUCUGCAUUGUUCAUAGGGUGUUUGUUCACUGUUGAGGAUUUACUUGAACUGUAAGCAUGUCUACUUUUCUAUACAAUUAAAUGUUGCUACCAGUUGAGGUUUGGUUCGUCACUACCAUUAGUCCAUAGUUUGGACUUGUUACUUACUGAAUUAGUGUACUCACGUUACCCCUUGCACCCCUGUGUGGAAAUCCAGGUAUCUCGGGGCAUGGUAGCGAUUGUUGAUCACACCAAUUGGAGACAUUCUGUGGAUAUUGCGAGGUAGCUUCUUGGCGACCGCAGUUCUGCCUUCUCCUUUCCUUAUCUUCCUUUAGUAUAUUUAUUUGGAUAUUCUCAGACCAUGUUGGUCAUGCUGUUUCGGACAUAUGUAGUGGUUUUAGCUCAUGACUUAGUGACACGCGAGGUCGGGAUUGAGUUUUCUUUCCGCUGAAUUUUGAUUUCUACUUUUAUCUUAUUGAAUUUCUGUUAAAAUUAUGAUUUUCCUUAAGUUUUCAUUUGAAAAAAAUGGAGUAUUUGGAAAUAAGGGGCUGGCCUAGUAUCAUGAUAGGCGCUAUCACGACAUGGUUAGAUUUUGAGUCAUGACAUAAAGGAGUGAGAGAUGGACCAUCAGAAGAUGCAAAAAGAUUCUUUAAAUUAGUAGAAGAAGGGAAAGAAGAAAUAUGUCCAGCGUGUGAGAAUUUCUCCAAAUUAGGUUUUACGAUUCGGUUAUACUUGUUUAAAGGCAUUCAUGGGAUAAGUAAUGUGGCAUUCAAAGACUUGUCGAAGUUGUUAAAAGAGGCAUUUCCAUUUGCUCAGCUACCCGAGUCUUUCUUCAAGGCAACAAGCAUGAAAUAAGAUUUGGGUCUUCAUUAUGAAAAAAUGCAUGCAUGUUCUAAUGAUUGCAUGUUAUUUUAGAAUGACAAUGUAAAUGCAGAUAAUUGUUCUUUUUGUGGGUCUUCUAGAUAGAAGAAUGUUGUUAAUGUCUUGACUAAUAAAAAGACCAAAACCCCUGCAAAGGUUUUAAGACUUUCCAGUGAAGCCUCGAUUUCAGAGGAUAUUCAUGUGUCUCGAAACAGAUGUAGCUAUGAGAUGGCAUGCCACUGAACGACCGAAUGAUGGAAAUAUAAGACAUCCUUCUGAUGGUGAUGCUUGGAAGGAAUUUGACUCUUUUCACCCUGAAUUCUCUAGCGACCCUCGCAAUGUUAGAUUGGGUAUUUCAAGUGAUUGUUUCAACACGUUUCGAACAAUGAGCAUCUCCCAUAGCACGUGACUUGUUAUGUUAAUGAACUAUAAUCUUUCACCUUGGAUUUGCAUGAAGCCAAACUAUAUAAUGUUGUCAAUGAUCAUCCCAGGUCUGUCAUCUUCGGGAAAUGACAUAGAUGUGUAUCUACAACAACUAAAUGAUGAAUUGAAGGAACUAUGGGAAUUUGGGGUAGAAACAUUGAUGUCGAAUCCAACCAGAUGUUUCAAAUACGUGAAGCGUAAGUGUGGAAAAUUAGUGAUUUUGCUGCACUAACAAUGCUUUAUGGAUGGAUCACAAAGGGAAAUUUUGCAUGCCCACUUGUAAUUAUGGAACAUGCUCUCAAUAUCUCAAGCAUAGUCGUAAGAUGUGCUACGUGGGUCAUCGAGCAUUUUUGACUCUUGAACAUUCAUUUCGAAGAGAUAAGAAAUCAUUUGAUGGUAAGGAGGAUCAUAGACUUGGACCUACUCCAUUGUUGGGUACAGAAGUCCUCAAAGAGUUGCGUGAAUUCAAGAAUGUCUUUGGAAAGGGAAAAAAGAAAAGGUUUCGGGAUAACAAGUGCCCAUAGAAGAAAAGAUCCAUCUUCUUUGAACUAUCAUACUGGAAAAUUAACAAAUUGAGGCACAAUCUUGAUCCGAUGCACAUUGAGAAGAAUAUAUGUGAUAGUAUUCUUGGGACAUAAUUGGAGAUAGAUGGAAAGUCAAAAGAUCAUGUAAACUCUCGUUAUGAUUUGCAACGAAAAGAGCUUCAACCAAUAUAAGAUGUUGUAAGUGGAACAAUUUCUUUGGCUAAAGCUUGUUUCUAUAUGAAUCCAGUAGAGAAGAGGCGAUUUUGCACCUUUAAAAAUGCCAAAUUUCCAAAAGGUUGUGCCUCGAAUAUAUCACAUUGUGUGCAUGAGAAAUAGAUGAAAAUAUCGGGGUACAAGAGUCAUGAUGCUCAUUUUGUAAUGUAUUACUUGCUCGAAGUUGCUAAUAGAAAAUCGUUACCCAAGAAUGUUUCUUUGGCAUUGAUUAGGUUGGGCAACUUCGUUAGAGCCAUAUGUGCUAAGGUUAUAUCUUGAUAGAUUGCAUACUGAAAUCAAUGAUAUUACAUGUGAGCUUGAAAUAAUUUUUACUCCAACCUAAUUUUUAUAUAAUGCCUCAUUUGCCUAUUCAUUUAGUAAAUGAAAUUAAGCUUGGGGGUGCAACUCAUUAUCGUUGGAUUUAUUCCACUGAAAGAAACUUGUGCAAGUAUAAGGCAUUUGUUCGUAAUCGAGCUUAUCCAGAAACGUCAAUUGUAGAGGGGUUUUUGGCCGAAGAGUGCUUGACGUUUUGUUCGAGAUACCUACUAAUGGGGUGAAGACAAGAUUUAGUAGGUACCAAACUGAGAAUGAUGGGGACAUUGAAGGAGCAAAAUUGUCACCUAUAUUUCCUAAAAUUGGUCAUCUAAUUGGAAGUAAGAAAAAGAGAAAAAGAAAUAUUUUCCUCAUGGAUUUGCAGUUAUGUUCUGAGGCACAUAGAUAUUCUCUUUUCAAUACUAAAGAUGAACAAGUGGAGGCGUUUAUCAUGUAAGAUAAAAUAUAUUAUCAUCACUUGUAUUAUAAGCUUUGUUUAUUUUAUUUUUUAAUAUUUUUAAAUUUAAUUGAUAUGACUUAUGAUUAAAUUUGAAACGUAUGGCUUGCAGGGAAUAUAAAAAUUUAAUUGAUAAUCGUACUAGAUCAAAUGCGUGGGUAAGAACAAGAAAUCAUAGUCAAAACUUUGCCGAAUGGUUUAAAGAGAGUAAAAAAGCAUUGACAUGCCCAAUCAUUUGCGAUGGCUAGCUAAAGGACCUAAUACAUUGGCAAAGGAUAUACUGGAUAUUUUAUCAACGGCUACUUGUUUCAUACAAUGAUGCGGGAUGCCCCGUUGAAGACUUAAAAUAGUAGAGUGACUUUGUCAGUAACAACUGAUAGUUUUGCUAGUGCUAGGGACCAAAAUCCCAUUGAUGGAGAGGUUCUCUACUGUGGAGCUAUUUAGAAUAUCAUUGAGAUUGAUUAUUAGGGUCUCUUUCGUGUUGUACUAUUUAGAUGUGAUUGAUUUCGUACUGAAGUAGAUGAAUACGGGUUAACUCAGGUAUACUUUAACUGAUUAUGUAGUACUGAUGACUCUUUGUUGUUCGCAUCUCAAGUACAUCAAGUUUUUUAUGUGGAGGAUCCAAUUGAGAAAGAUGUUUAUUAUGCAAGGAAUAAAGUCCAUGUUGAUUUGUAUGAUUUCGAGGAAGAGAAUAUUCCUAAUGUUGGGGAGACAUUUUUGGCGGGAGCCUAAUAAUGAAGCAGGUCCAUCAACUAGAUUAGCUGACAUUGAUUUUAGAUGGUCGAGAGAAGAUGUACCUCUUGAUGUUAUUGAUAUGCCAAUUGAUGCACAACAUUCACAAGAAACAAUUAUGGAAACAUUAUAAGAAGAUGAUGAUUUAGAUGAUAUGGAUUGGGAUUGGAUGUAGAUUGAUGAUUGAAGAAGAAACUUCUGAUUUUUAUUUGUAUUUUUUAUCUUCAUUGUCUUCUUUUGAACAAUUUUUUGUUCUUGUGUAUGCUCUUGAAUUUUUUGUAAUAUGCUAAGUACUUGAAACUAUAGUCUGAUACGAAGCUAUUUUAAUAUGUUAUAGUUCAAGCUUAGUUUGUUUCACUCCAAGCUUUUAUAUUAUCUAUUGUUGGAGAUUUUUUUGUUAUAAGAAAAAGCCUGCCUCUCCCGAAAGCUGUGAAUAACUAUAAUGAUUGUUGGUUUGAUAUGUGUGAGAGAAGUGAAAGCAGACUUUUCAGUAAGGCAGAAUACAUAACCAGCCCCCUAAACUAUUAUCUUUUCAAGCUAAAUUCCUUCUUGUUCUACUAUUAGAUCGUUUCUGUCACAAGCUGAAUUAGACUCAAUUGGGCAUUGGAUUUCUAAGUUUUUGAGCUGCAAUAUUCCUUAUUUCUGAUGAGUUAGAUACUAUAUUGGGUUGGCAGCUGCUCUUGUUUGAAAAUCAAUUGAAUUGGUAAAUGUGUUAACCUAUUUUGUCAGCAAAUUCCUACACUUAUUCACUGGGAAUUUCAGGUUGUUUAAUGGCAGUUUUGUGCUCAGUUUCUAUCCAGUUUGGAUUAAGAAGGGCAUGAUUUUUGUUGUAGUUUAAUGUUUAGAGGGAAUAAGCUUCUCAAUCCUUGCAGUGUUCUCAACAAGAAAUAUUGGUAGUACUAUUUUUGGAUCUUCAUGUAUUCAUUGGAUAUGAGAUUUAAAAACCUAACACUUUAAUUCUUUGAUGUGUCAAUGUGUUCCUGGAAUCUUCUCUAAAGGUUCCAUUCAGUGGUUGAAAAGGAUGCAAGUUCUCUGUAAUGGAUGUUGUCAGGUGUGUGUGUUGUAAUAAAUCUUCUCUGUAAUGAUUCUUCUCUAAAGGUUCCAGCAAGAGUGUGUUGUAAUUGCCUUAGUUAUUAUCAGUACAUAUAAGAUAUGAAACUAUAGUCUGAUACAAACUAUAGCUUUCACUUUGUUGUUGUUGCUGCAUAUAUUCAGUUGCUUUUAUUAUAAAUUUUGUUCUUGCAUAUGACCUUUGUUUUCACUUUUUCCUUUGGCUUUUCCUAGUCUUGCAAUCUGUAACCAUUACUUAAAAACCAUCAUAUAUGCAUCUUGGAAUUCUACUAUUGUCAUUUAUAUAAUACCUAAUAAAGCUAUUUUUAUUUGUAUUCUUCAUUAGAUUUGAUAGACAUGAUUCAAGAAAAACCUUCAAAGCCCAAAAGAAAGACAAGCACGACAUACACAAAACCUGGAACAAUGGCAUCUUUGGCAAACCAAAUAAGGACUUAGUUUAGCCAAAAAUAUGUUGUUCUCGCUAGACAAUCAAACAAAGAGCGGCCGAAUAUUAUUGAAGAGAAUAUUCCAUAAUAUCCAGGAGUAGUAGCCCAUGUACAAACCAGAUCAAC